rnacentral:tRNA from 1 species
CGCUAAGAAGCUAAACAGGGUAUAAGCGUUAGCCUUUUAAGCUAAAGACUGGUGAUCCCCUUAGCGAC